GACGAACGCUGGCGGCGUGCUUAACACAUGCAAGUCGAACGGUAAGGCUCCAGCUUGCUGGGGUACACGAGUGGCGAACGGGUGAGUAACACGUGGGUGACCUGCCCUGCACUUCGGGAUAAGCCUGGGAAACUGGGUCUAAUACCGGAUAGGACCGCACCGUGAGGGGGUGGUGGAAAGUUUUUUCGGUGUGGGAUGGGCCCGCGGCCUAUCAGCUUGUUGGUGGGGUAAUGGCCUACCAAGGCGGCGACGGGUAGUCGGCCUGAGAGGUGGGACGGCCACAUUGGGACUGCGGGACGGCCCAGACUCCUACGGGAGGCAGCAGUGGGGAAUAUUGCACAAUGGGCGGAAGCCUGAGGCAGCGACGCCGCGUGGGGGAUGACGGCCUUCGGGUUGUAAACUCCUUUCACCAUCGACGAAGGGUUUCUGACGGUAGAUGGAGAAGAAGCACCGGCUAACUACGUG
rnacentral:rRNA from 1 species